CAAGGAACAAGAUUUGGACCAUUGAUGAUGAUCCUCCACCUCUUCAUCCUGCUGAGUACAUUGGCAAAUCUUCUCUAGACUUGCUACUGAAACCAUCUGAAGAGGAUCUGAAGUGUUGGCCCCACUGGGCAUGUUUGCAUGCGGGUGGCACUAAUCAAAUCAGAUAAGUUUAGCCUGAUGUAUUUUGUUUUCUAUGGGGAGACGAAAUGAAAUGAAUUGAUACAGUUGACCC